GACGAACGCUGGCGGCGUGCCUAAUACAUGCAAGUAGAACGCUGAAGGAGGAGCUUGCUUCUCUGGAUGAGUUGCGAACGGGUGAGUAACGCGUAGGUAACCUGCCUGGUAGCGGGGGAUAACUAUUGGAAACGAUAGCUAAUACCGCAUAAUAUUGACUAUUGCAUGAUAGUCAGUUGAAAGGUGCAACUGCACCACUACCAGAUGGACCUGCGUUGUAUUAGCUAGUUGGUGGGGUAACGGCUCACCAAGGCGACGAUACAUAGCCGACCUGGGAGGGUGAUCGGCCACACUGGGACUGAGACACGGCCCAGACUCCUACGGGAGGCAGCAGUAGGGAAUCUUCGGCAAUGGACGGAAGUCUGACCGAGCAACGCCGCGUGAGUGAAGAAGGUUUUCGGAUCGUAAAGCUCUGUUGUAAGAGAAGAACGAGUGUGAGAGUGGAAAGCUCACACUGUGACGGUAUCUUACCAGAAAGGGACGGCUAACUACGUG
rnacentral:rRNA from 1 species